rnacentral:rRNA from 1 species
CCUACGGGGGGCUGCAGUGGGGGAUAUUGCACAAUGGGGGGAACCCUGAUGCAGCGACGCCGCGUGGGUGAAGGAGUGCUUCGGCAUGUAAAGCCCUAUCGGCAGGGAAGAAGCAAGACGGUACCUGACUAAGAAGCCCCGGCUAACUACGUGCCAGCAGCCGCGGUAAUACGUAGGGGGCGAGCGUUAUCCGGAUUCACUGGGUGUAAAGGGAGCGUAGACGGCCAUGCAAGCCAGGGGUGAAAGCCCGGGGCCCAACCCCGGGACUGCCCUUGGGACUGUGUUGCUGGAGUGCAGGAGGGGUAAGCGGAAUUCCUAGUGUAGCGGUGAAAUGCGUAGAUAUUAGGAGGAACACCGGUGGCGAAGGCGGCUUACUGGACUGUAACUGACGUUGAGGCUCGAAGGCGUGGGGAGCAAACAGGAUUAGAUACCCGAGUAGUC